CAACCUCAUAGCCUGGCUUUCCUUGCAUUGAAUGUAGAACAUUCAAUGUAAAAUUUAAGAGUUUAGAGUUGAGAGUUUCUUUCUGGUUUCGCUGUAAAUUAAUUAAUUACUAUUAUAUUUAGCUGUUUAAUUAAUUAUCAUUUAUUCAAAAUAUUAUCAGUAACAUGUCAUCCAACAGUUUAUAUUCACCAUUAUCCUCCGAUGAGGACUGCGAUAAUACUGGCCAAGAUGUUGAGUCCGGUCGUCAUAUUGAUCAUGGUUCAUCUGUUGUAAAGAGAAAACAUUCCUCAAAACAUCAUAGACAUCAUAAACAUGAGAAGAAAAAACACCGGAAACAUAAACACCGUCCUCACUCUUCGGGUGCGAUAGAGCGUGGUGAUGUCUCUUCAUCUUCAAAUAAACACAGACGUCAUAAAAAGGAUAGACAUAGGAGUAGAAGGAAUGAAGCCGAGGAUGAUCUCGAAGAGGUUAAUGAUGACCAAUACGACCCAAAACCUAGAAUAUUGAGCUCGAAGCCUCUUGUACCAGAAUAUGACGAUAUCUCGGAUACAGAUGACAUUCAAUCUCAAUCUUUUGAUGACCAAAGAAAUGAUGAUGCCGAAGAGGGCGAAGUAGGAUGUGAUGCCGAGGCAAAAUCAGUUGUUAGCUCUGUAAAAGUUCCUGACAGUAAAAAGGGGGACGACCCAGACUCACCUUUAUCGCGUAUAAGUAGUCAAAGUCCACCGUUGGGUGAAGAAGAAAUCAGUCAACCUUCAUCACCAGUCCUUUCGAAAGCGGCAGAUAAACAUUCAACUCGUCCAACUCAAAGUCCUCGAUCUAAUAAAUCAAAAGCUGUCGAAAUAACUUCUCCAGCCAAAAUUUGGAUGGAUAAAUCUCCUCCUUUUGUUGAUAAGCCUAAAAAAUCAACUGUUCAUCUCUCCCCUAUUGAUUCCACAGAGACUGAUGAAUCUAGAAUCGAUUCAGAAGAUAGAAAGAAGAAACCUACUAAAAGACAUCAGCUACCUCCUCCUCCUCCGCCACCAUCACUAGCAUCAGGACCACCAUCUCGGUCUAGAACACCUCCUGCAACACCACCUAAAGAGUUUAAUAAAAAUGAUAAGCGUUCGAAAAAUCCCAGAGAACCGAGAUCUCGGACGCCUCCUCAUACUGAUGUAAGAAGGAGAAGAUCUCCCAGCCCUCAUUCUAGUAAACCAUGGUCACCACCUCCGCCACCUCCACCUCCGCCUUUAUCAUCGUCUUCAGCAUCAUUUAGGCGACGAUCUUGGAGUAAGAGUCCACCACCACCAUCUUCUGAUUCAUCUGGUUCUAAACGUCGGAGAGAUAGAUCUCCAAGCCCUUCUAGACAUGUUGAUAGAAGUAAAGAUCGUGAUCGCUCCAAGGAAUUUUCAGAUAGAGAGAAAUCGCCCUCUCGAGUUAAGUAUCCUUCAACCACAUCGUCUUCUCGCAAAUCUUCGCAUACUAGGUCACCUCCAAGAGACAAGAGAUAUUCUGGUAGAGAUUUAUCUCCUACUCCAAGGAAUCGGGAAAAAUCUCCCAACAGGAGAUCCGAGCCGGCACCAAGAAGUAGUAAAAAUUAUUCAAGUCGUUCAUCUAGAGACCAAGGACGGGGUAGUAAAUAUUCAUCUAAUGGACGAGGUAGAUCUCGUGAUAGAUCACCGCAUGAACGUGCUAAAGAUGUUUCUCCUUACGAUAGACCCAGAGACCGUUCACCAUAUGAUCAUCCAAGGGAUCGUUCUCCUUUCGAUAGACCAAGAGAAAGAUCUCAUGAACGUAAUAGAGAUCGAUCACCUUAUGAUAGAUCCCGAGAAAGGUCACCUUAUGAUAGAUCAAAGGAUAGAUCUCGUCAUAAAUCUCCCAUCUCCAGUUCCAAGCGGAAUGUUUAUGAUAGGGAUCGAUCUAUUUCCCCUGGUCGUCCUAGAUCACCUAGAUCACCUAGAUAUCGUAGGACUCCUGUCUCACCCCGCUCUAGAAGAGCUCCCCUCUCCCCUCGAUCCCCUCCUUUAUCUCCAAGAGCCGGGCGUCCUCAUCGGUCUCCAAUGUCUGCUCGUUCACCUCAUUCACCCAGACCUGGCCGUUCAUCAAGACCUGGAUCAACAUCGCCAUCACCACAUCGAAGUCGAGAUAAUUAUGAUGAUGUCCGUUCUCGUCAAGGGCUCUCUUUAGAUAAUAGAUAUGCAUCAACAAGCUUAGGUGCUGAAUUGAUGAAGCACUCUAAGUUUAAAAAUAAAAAGCCUGGAGAACUUCCUAAUGAAAUGUCGCCUAUGCCACCUAUGCCUCCUAAACAGCAGCUUCCAAUUUCGUCUCUGCAUACACAGCAACUUUCACAACAACCUUUAAACCCUAACUUAAUUCAUCCCGGAACCAUCCUAACAGAUCAUCCUCAUCAUCUUCAUCAAUUAACACAGCCAACAUCUCAGUCUCAACAAUCAUUACCACAACCAAUGUUACAGCAACACAAUGGCUUUGAAAAUAUGAGAGCAUCUACAUUGUCUACAUUACCUCCAUUACCACUACCAAACAUGGUUGGCUCGAAAUCAUCUCAACGAACAAACGCAGUAAAUCAGGCUCAUCAUACACCAAGCUCACGUUUAACUCAAUUACCAUUGCCACCAACUUCUGGAAAUCCUAUUGAGCCAGUUGAAGAGGACCAAAGUAAACCAGUAGUUCGUAAACGACCCCGUGUUAUCAGUAAAACAUAUCCACUAAACCAGGAUCAAAAUCCUCGUUGUGUUGAUGUAUUCAAUAUCAUCUCACAAAUAGGUGAAGGUACUUAUGGUCAAGUUUAUAAAGCCCAGGAUAAGAAAAAUAAGUCUAUUGUGGCACUAAAGAAAGUGCGAUUAGAAAAUGAAAAAGAAGGUUUUCCCAUUACAGCGGUUCGUGAAAUAAAAAUUUUAAGGCAAUUGAAUCAUGAAAACAUUGUCAAUUUAAAAGAAAUUGUGACUGAUAAACAAAACGUUUUAGAUUUUAAAAAAGAUAAAGGUGCCUUCUAUCUUGUUUUUGAAUAUAUGGAUCAUGAUUUAAUGGGACUUUUGGAAAGUGGUUUAGUGAAUUUUAAUGACGCCAAUAUUGCUCAUACAAUGAGACAGCUAAUUGAUGGUCUUCACUAUUGUCAUAAGAAUAAUUUUCUGCAUAGGGAUAUAAAAUGUUCAAAUAUUUUAAUGAAUAAUAGAGGUCAAAUCAAAUUAGCUGACUUUGGUUUAGCUCGUCUUUUUAGUGCUGAGGAUAAAUUACGGCCUUAUACAAAUAAAGUGAUAACUCUUUGGUACAGACCUCCGGAACUGUUACUUGGUGAAGAGAGGUAUGGUCCUGCCAUUGAUGUUUGGAGUUGCGGGUGUAUUUUAGGAGAACUUUUUACUAAAAAACCAAUCUUUCAAGCUAGCAAUGAACAAGUUCAAUUUGAAAGCAUAAUUAGAAUAUGUGGAACUCCAAAUUCUCAAACAUGGCCUUCCGUUGUUUAUCUUCCAUUGUGGAAUACUUAUAAUAAGUCUACAAAACCGUACAAAAGAUGUUUAAGGGAACGUUUUCAUUAUAUACCUAAAGGAGCUUUAGAUUUAUUAGACGCCAUGCUCUGCCUUGAUCCAGCUAAAAGAAUAACUGCUGAGGAAGCUUUAAAGUCUGAAUGGCUUCAAAACAGCACGAUGUCCCCACCAAAUUUACCCCAACAUCAAGAUUGUCAUGAAAUGUGGUCUAAACAAAGACGUCGAAAGCAACAUCAAACUCAACAGCAAGCAUCCCAACCUAUUCCUCAUCAGCAAUCAUCUCAAACUUCUCAAUCGCAUGCAUCAUUAGCCGCCCAAAGCUCAUCUCAACAAUCGUCUACAUUACCUCAGGCCCAGUCAACAAACUGAGGAUGUUUAUAUGCGAAAAUUAAUUACAUUAAUGAUAACCUAAAAAAUACUAUCAGUCCUACCUGACGAAAGGAUGAUUAACUGAACUUCAAUGACAGCAAAGCGAAGACAGAGAUCAAUAUUUUUUUGCAACACAAAGUGCUUUUUCGUUUUUUUCCAAUACUAAACCUUGAUUAAAGGCUUUAAGGAUAUUAUUAACUGUUGAAAACUUACUCUUAUCUGGUAGAAGCCACUGACGGCCACAAUAUUUUUCAUUGGUUUGCUCAAUUUGUAAAUAGUCCGUUCGACAGUCGCUUGUUUUUUCCAAAUCCAAAUUGAGAAACUGGAGUUUUACUUGGCAAAUAUCCGGUGAUGAUCUAUGAAUUAUAUAUGAACAUCGACUGUAGGGUGGAUAAUCUGAUGGAUAGUUGGGACUUGUUAUAACAGCUAGUUGAUUGUUGAUCAAUUUGUUACACAAUUUUGCCUCUGAUUGCUCUGAGACAGGUGAAAGUGAUUGAGAUGUUGGAGGUGGUCUAAGCAAUCCUCGCCUUGAUGAAUACGGAUCUGGUAUUAUUGGUGAUGGUGCUGGUGAACCACAAGGAAUUUGACUUAUCAAUAUAUCAAAACCAGGACUUUCUCUGUAACCAUCACUUGAAAAAAACAGCGUGAUUGAGCUGUUUAAUGUUUGGGGGAAGAUGAAACUCUCUGAAUAAUGUGAUGUUUUUAGAAUUUUUAAUAUUUUUUUUGGAUUCCAAACAAUUGGUGACCGCAAAAUUAGAAUCAAAAGAAAAGAAAAAUCAAUCAGCUAUUAGAAGAUAAACACAUUUAAAUAACAGUCAAUAUUGAUUGUUUCUCUCUUAUUUGGCAAAUUUUUUUUGUGCAGCUGUGAUAUCAUGGAUAAAUAAUCACGUUUGUCCCUCUUUAUUUUUAGAGAGACCUAACCUCUAAUGUGAAAACCUUAAUUCAUUUCUAAAAGUAAAAGAUUUAACAUUAACUGUUUUACUGAGAAAAAAA